UAGGUUACGUCAAGACCCGAAGCUAUUAACUUCAGGCAUUUCUUCUCUACUGAAAGUGCUUUACAACCCGCAGGCCUUCUUCACACACGCGGCAUUGCUGGAUCAGGGUUGCCCCCAUUGUCCAAUAUUCCCC
rnacentral:rRNA from 1 species